ACAAGAUUGCGCCAAUCGAGCUGAGAGCAACUGGCCGUGCCGUCAAAAAAUACCAGAAUGAGAGAGCAAAGACGAAUUCAAUAAGAAAAUGAAGAAGAAUCGAGCAGCUGGGGCGAAAUUGAAAGGUUUGUUUACAAAGUGCAUAAUAAAUCGCGGAUUUACGGAAUUAUUUAAUUUUAAAUGUAAUUGAACAAAUACCAGCGGGCCGCCAGCGGGUCAGUUGCUGGUAACAAUUUGCAGAACGAUUCCACGGUGAUCGUUGCAUCGUCGUCAAUUAGUGAAAUCACUACUUUUCCGGCAGCCGCAACAAACGCUGGCCCAAGCCUGCAAAUUGUUGCCAGAAACUGAC